rnacentral:rRNA from 1 species
GAUCCUGGCUCAGAAUCAACGCUGGCGGCGUGCCUAACACAUGCAAGUCGCACGAGAAAGGGUAGCAAUACCUGAGUAAAGUGGCGCACGGGUGAGUAACACGUGAAUUAUCUACCUCCGAGUGGGGAAUAACUGAGAGAAAUCUUAGCUAAUACCGCAUAACACUUACGAGUCAAAGCAGUAAUGCGCUUGGAGAGGAGUUCGCGGCAGAUUAGUUAGUUGGCGGGGUAAUGGCCCACCAAGACGAUGAUCUGUAUCCGGCCUGAGAGGGCGCACGGACACACUGGAACUGAAACACGGUCCAGACUCCUACGGGAGGCAGCAGUGGGGAAUUUUGCGCAAUGGGGGAAACCCUGACGCAGCAACGCCGCGUGGAGGAUGAAAUCCCUUGGGAUGUAAACUCCUUUCGAUAGGGAAGAUUAUGACGGUACCUAUAGAAGAAGCCCCGGCUAACUUCGUGCCAGCAGCCGCGGUAAUACGAGGGGGGCAAGCGUUGUUCGGAUUUAUUGGGCGUAAAGGGUGCGUAGGCGGUUUGGCAAGUCUUGUGUGAAAUCUUUGGGCUCAACCCAAAGCCUGCACAAGAAACUGCCGGGCUUGAGUAUGGGAGAGGUGAGUGGAAUUUCCGGUGUAGCGGUGAAAUGCGUAGAUAUCGGAAGGAACACCUGUGGCGAAAGCGGCUCACUGGACCAU